AGUGAACGCUGGCGGCAGGCCUAACACAUGCAAGUCGAGCGGCAGCGCGGGGGCAACCCUGGCGGCGAGCGGCGGACAGGUGAGGAAUUCGUCGGAAUCUGCCUUUUUGUGGGGGAUAACGUAGGGAAACUUACGCUAAUACCGCAUACGUCCUACGGGAGAAAGUGGGGGACCGCAAGGCCUCACGCAGAAAGAUGAGCCGACGACCGAUUAGCUAGUUGGUGGGGUAAAGGCCCACCAAGGCGACGAUCGGUAGCUGGUCUGAGAGGAUGAUCAGCCACACUGGGACUGAGACACGGCCCAGACUCCUACGGGAGGCAGCAGUGGGGAAUAUUGGACAAUGGGCGCAAGCCUGAUCCAGCCAUGCCGCGUGUGUGAAGAAGGCCUUCGGGUUGUAAAGCACUUUUGUCCGGAAAGAAAUCCCUGGAGCUAAUACCUUCGGGGGAUGACGGUACCGGAAGAAUAAGCACCGGCUAACUUCGUG
rnacentral:rRNA from 1 species